UUAAAGUUCAAUUUAGAAAGCAGGAAAUGCAAAUGUUUAAAAUAAGAUCUGAUUGAAAAUUAAAUCAUUUUUUUUUCAUGCAGACUGUGUUAGUCACAGUCACGGGAGGUGUGGCUGAGGCUGCAUAAUCAGAAACAAAGUGAAUUAAAGGUAAACUAUAGUGCCAAGAAAACAAGCUUGUGGUCUGGGUACCUACAGUGUCCCUUUAACUCCUGAAUUGAGAAUUGAGCAGUGAGAUUUUAGUGGCGUAAUCUAUACAUCAGAAACUGCUAAAUUUAGUUUAAGUUGUUUUGAUGACUGUAGUGUUUCUUUAAUAGUUUAUGUGCAAACCUUUUUAUGUAGUUUAUACUGUCAUGGUUUGGUGUCAAGGCUGGUGUUAAAUUUCAUUUUCACAAAAUAGUAGCAAAUAUCUUAGACAUCUCUUUAACAAAUUAGCAUGGUGUUUGUACCACACCACAACCAUAGUGAGGAUGAUGGUCACUGCCUCUAAAAUAUAUUAAGUAACAGUAUUUUACAUUUUAUUCUAGUGCUUACAGUGUUAGCAUAAAGCAGUUAAGAUAAAGUUAAUUAGAGUGUGGU